rnacentral:lncRNA from 1 species
GGAUAAUGCAAGUGUUUAACAGAUGCUUCACUAUUAAAAUAUUUUCCCCCCAAGUCUCAAAUAUUGAAGAAUCUCUAACCAGGUACAGUAUCACUCUGCUCUCUUUUCUGGUUGAAAAGAAAGAAAGAAAGAAAACGCAGGUAUUGCUUUUCGAAGUGCUUUGUAGGUAAUCGAGGGACACCAGUCCCUACGAAGACCUUGGGCGAUUUUGAAGUGCGGGCACCUCGAUUCCCCGAAUCUGUAGUGUGGCUGGUAUCGGUGUUCCCCUGGUUUAACUAGCCUGUUUGAAGGCACAGAUCAUUCAUGGGGAUGUAUAACCGAAACCAGUCCUCUCCACCGCCUGGGGAUCUUCACUUUCGCAGUCUACGACUGCCUGUGACUCCAGAAAGACAAACUGCAGAUUGGCCAAGUGCCUUUCAAACUGUUUUUUACUGGAUGAAGAAACUCAACCAAGAAAAUAUAUGUCGAUUCUUGUAUAUGGGACAAUAUUAGCUGCUGUGAUUUUUAAUACUAGCAUAAAAUAUAAGAAUCUUUUUAUUACUGUGAUAUUGUUUUUUCCUAAAUGAAUGCAUAGUGUAACAAUUGGUGUCAAAAAGCAUUGAAUUUUUUUCAGAUGGAUUAAGCUGGAAUAAUAAAGUAUAUCUAUGAGAUGAUUUCUGUAAACUCUGACUUGCUGAGAAAAAAGUGAAAAAGCUUUUUCUGGAAGAAACAUGGCAACUUAACCGUUAUUAAUCUGGACUAAAUAAAACAGGAAACUGCUUCUUUACAUUUCUAGUAAUUUUUUCUGCUUUUCCAAACAUUGUUAAGUUCUAUGCAACUUGUGCUAUUCAAGUAAAGAUGAUGUCAGUAAUAAAAUUACAGAAUCUAAAAAAAAAAAAAAAAA